rnacentral:rRNA from 1 species
GACGAACGCUGGCGGCGUGCCUAAUACAUGCAAGUCGAGCGCAGGAAACUGACGGAACUCUUCGGAGGGAAGGCAGUGGAAUGAGCGGCGGACGGGUGAGUAACACGUAAGGAACCUGCCUCAAGGAUUGGGAUAACUCCGAGAAAUCGGAGCUAAUACCGGAUAGUUCAACGGACCGCAUGGUCCGUUGAUGAAAGGCGCUCCGGCGUCACCUUGAGAUGGCCUUGCGGUGCAUUAGCUAGUUGGUGGGGUAACGGCUCACCAAGGCGACGAUGCCCAGACGACCUGAGAGGGUGAUCGGCCAAACUGGGACUGAGACACGGCCCAGACUCCUACGGGAGGCAGCAGUAGGGAAUCUUCCACAAUGGACGAAAGUCUGAUGGAGCAACGCCGCGAGAGUGAUGAAGGUUUUCGGAUCGUAAAACUCUGUUGUAAGGGAAGAACACGUACGAGAGGAAAUGCUCGUACCUUGACGGUACCUUACGAGAAAGCCACGGCUAACUACGUGCCAGCCGCCGCAGUAA